rnacentral:rRNA from 1 species
GUGAGGAAUAUUGGUCAAUGGGCGGGAGCCUGAACCAGCCAAGUCGCGUGAAGGAAGAAGGAUCUAUGGUUCGUAAACUUCUUUUGCAGGGGAAUAAAGUGCAGGACGUGUCCUGUUUUGUAUGUACCCUGAGAAUAAGGAUCGGCUAACUCCGUGCCAGCAGCCGCGGUAAUACGGAGGAUCCGAGCGUUAUACGGAUUUAUUGGGUUUAAAGGUCUGGUAGGUGGUUUGAUAAGUCAGCGGUGAAAGUUUGCAGCUUAACUGUAAAAAUGCCGUUGAAAAUGUCGGACUUGAGUGUAAAUGAGGUAGGCUGAAUGCGUGGUGUAGCGGUGAAAUGCAAAGAUAACACGCAGAACUCCGAUUGCGAAGGCAGCUUACUAAUCUACAACUGACACUGAAGCACGAAAGCGUGGGGAUCAAACAGGAUUAGAUACCCCUGUAGUCC